rnacentral:rRNA from 1 species
AACGAACGCUGGCGGCAGGCUUAACACAUGCAAGUCGAGCGCCCCGCAAGGGGAGCGGCAGACGGGUGAGUAACGCGUGGGAACGUACCCUUUACUACGGAAUAACGCAUGGAAACGUGUGCUAAUACCGUAUGUGCCCUUCGGGGGAAAGAUUUAUCGGUAAAGGAUCGGCCCGCGUUGGAUUAGCUAGUUGGUGGGGUAAAGGCCUACCAAGGCGACGAUCCAUAGCUGGUCUGAGAGGAUGAUCAGCCACAUUGGGACUGAGACACGGCCCAAACUCCUACGGGAGGCAGCAGUGGGGAAUAUUGGACAAUGGGCGCAAGCCUGAUCCAGCCAUGCCGCGUGAGUGAUGAAGGCCCUAGGGUUGUAAAGCUCUUUCACCGGUGAAGAUAAUGACGGUAACCGGAGAAGAAGCCCCGGCUAACUUCGUGCCAGCAGCCGCAGUAACAC